GGGGUGCGUAGGGGUGAGGGAGUGGGGAGGUGCUGGGUGGUGGGAGAUGUAAUGGGAAAGAUAGCCUGGGGCUGAAUGAAGGAGGGGUUGAUUGUUAGGCUGAGGACUUUGGACUCUAUUUGGUGGGCAAUGGGGAGCCACAGAAGAUUUUUGAGCAUGGAAGAAACACAGUUUGGUUUUAGGAAGGUGACUCUGGGUGGGUGAAGAGGGUGGUCUAGGUGGGCUAUUUAACUCAUGUCAGUAGCUUGUUGUUUUCAUCGGGGUUUUUCUUGUCCCUUUGGGGUGGGACAGGGACGGGGGUGGUGUCUCUGAAGUCAGCCCUCCUGGUUUGCAUUCUGGGUGUACACGUGUUCGUGUGUUUGCACACAUGUAGGUGUGUGCACAGCAUCCUCACUCCUGGAGGUCAAAUAUUGGAAAUCUGCUGUGUGUUUGACACCAAACAUCGCCCAUUAACAUGUUCCUGACCUCUG
rnacentral:lncRNA from 1 species